GGGGUCGUGGCUCAGUGGUAGAGCAUCAGCUUGCCAUGCAGAAGGUCCCAGGUUCAAUCCCUGGCGGCAUCU